CUUUCAUCUUAUUAGUGCCUUAAGGCCCAUACAGACUUGACGCUAUUUGGCAACGCGACGCAAAUUUUCAGUUGCCGAAUUGCAUCCGGUCUGUGUGCGCCUUUAUACGUUUGAGAAUUUAACUUUGCAAAACUAAAGCUUUUUUGUCUAUUUUGAAACAUAUUAUUGGAGUAUUGGCACGUUUUACCAUUCAGAAAUUUACAAACUAAUAUUGAAACUGUAGAAGACAGUUUCAUGUAUAUGCAUAUUCACUAAUGAGUAAUCACAACUUACAAGCCAUACAAAAUGGGGGGGCAAAAAAAAAUUUUGGUGGGGCAUUUUCCCCCCUUGCCCCUGUCCCUGGCGCCGCCACUGGACGGGACUAGAGUGUAUCUAAAAGUCGAGAGUAAAAGUCAAGAGUAAAAGUCGAGAGUCGAGUGUAAAAGUCAAGAGUAAAAAAGUUUUAAAAAAUCCUAUAGAAUAGCAGCUGAGAAAUUUAUAGUUUAAAAUGCUAUUCUUGACACUCAGACAGUGUGUGCGCACUAUGUAUAGGGGUAUGGUGGCCCAUCGUUCUCAUCG